AGUGGAAUUGCUGGAUCAUUUGGUCUGUGUUGAAGCUUGAAUUUUUUUGAGGAAAUGCCAUAUUAUUUUUCAUAGUGGCCACACCAUUUUACAUUGCCACCAGCAGU
rnacentral:pre_miRNA from 1 species